rnacentral:lncRNA from 1 species
GAAACGCUGAGAGGGAAAGUACACUACCUCUCCUCCUGAGGCUGUCAUUGCCGAUGACAAAGAUGUCUUCCUUCCUCUUAGUUUGGGUUCCCCAGAAGCAGAUCCUGAGUAAAGGUUCAAGUACAACUCAUUUACUUGUGGCGGGAGAGACCCUGCAAACACUGAUGGAGAAGUGAGAUGGGAGAAGGCAGCCAACAGCAAGUUUCGCCUGUUCCCUGGCUCCGAGGGGGAAGGCAAGAAGGACUUGGAAGACUAUUGAACGGCCAGCUAUUUCUAAAGAAACUACCUGAUACCAUGAUCAUGGACUUUAACCCCUGAAACCACAAGCCGACACAAACUGCUCCUCCUUUAAAGUGUGCGUGUCAAGUAUUUUGUCCCUGUGAUGGGGAUGUGACCGACUAACAUGCCCACAUUUGAUCCUGAAGAAUGAGGAACUUACUAAAACCACAGAAUAACACGUCUCAAAUUCUGCCCUCUUUCUUCUCAUUUGCAGGCUUAUCUGACUUUAAAUCUGUUCACGUGCUUUUCAGACCCCUUUUCACUCCGCCAUCUCUUAGACUUUGC